CCUAGGUGGGAUUAGCUAGUUGGUGAGGUAAGGGCUCACCAAGGCGACGAUCCCUAGCUGGUCUGAGAGGAUGAUCAGCCACACUGGAACUGAGACACGGUCCAGACUCCUACGGGAGGCAGCAGUGGGGAAUAUUGCACAAUGGGCGCAAGCCUGAUGCAGCCAUGCCGCGUGUGUGAAGAAGGCCUUCGGGUUGUAAAGCACUUUCAGUCGUGAGGAAGGUAGUGUAGUUAAUAGCUGCAUUAUUUGACGUUAGCGACAGAAGAAGCACCGGCUAACUCCGUGCCAGCAGCCGCGGUAAUACGGAGGGUGCGAGCGUUAAUCGGAAUUACUGGGCGUAAAGCGCAUGCAGGUGGUUUGUUAAGUCAGAUGUGAAAGCCCGGGGCUCAACCUCGGAAUUGCAUUUGAAACUGGCAGACUAGAGUACUGUAGAGGGGGGUAGAAUUUCAGGUGUAGCGGUGAAAUGCGUAGAGAUCUGAAGGAAUACCGGUGGCGAAGGCGGCCCCCUGGACAGAUACUGACACUCAGAUGCGAAAGCGUGGGGAGCAAACAGGAUUAGAUACCCUGGUAGUCCACGCCGUAAACGAUGUCUACUUGGAGGUUGUGGCCUUGAGCCGUGGCUUUCGGAGCUAACGCGUUAAGUAGACCGCCUGGGGAGUACGGUCGCAAGAUUAAAACUCAAAUGAAUUGACGGGGGCCCGCACAAGCGGUGGAGCAUGUGGUUUAAUUCGAUGCAACGCGAAGAACCUUACCUACUCUUGACAUCCAGAGAACUUUCCAGAGAUGGAUUGGUGCCUUCGGGAACUCUGAGACAGGUGCUGCAUGGCUGUCGUCAGCUCGUGUUGUGAAAUGUUGGGUUAAGUCCCGCAACGAGCGCAACCCUUAUCCUUGUUUGCCAGCGAGUAAUGUCGGGAACUCCAGGGAGACUGCCGGUGAUAAACCGGAGGAAGGUGGGGACGACGUCAAGUCAUCAUGGCCCUUACGAGUAGGGCUACACACGUGCUACAAUGGCGCAUACAGAGGGCAGCCAACUUGCGAAAGUGAGCGAAUCCCAAAAAGUGCGUCGUAGUCCGGAUUGGAGUCUGCAACUCGACUCCAUGAAGUCGGAAUCGCUAGUAAUCGUGGAUCAGAAUGCCACGGUGAAUACGUUCCCGGGCCUUGUACACACCGCCCGUCACACCAUGGGAGUGGGCUGCAAAAGAAGUAGGUAGUUUAACCUUCGGGGGGACGCUUACCACUUUGUGGUUCAUGACUGGGGUGAAGUCGUAACAAGGUAGCGCUAGGGGAACCUGGCGCUGGAUCACCUCCUUA
rnacentral:rRNA from 1 species